UGGGGGAUAUUGCACAAUGGGCGAAAGCCUGAUGCAGCGACGCCGCGUGGGGGAUGAAGGCUUUCGGGUUGUAAACCUCUUUCGCUAUCGAACAAGGCCCGCUUAGGGUGGGUUGAGGGUAGGUGGAGAAGAAGCGCCGGCUAACUUCGUGCCAGCAGCCGCGGUAAUACGUAGGGCGCGAGCGUUGUCCGGAAUUAUUGGGCGUAAAGGGCUUGUAGGCGGCUUGUUGCGCCUGCUGUGAAAACGCGGGGCUUAACGUCGCGCGUGCAGUGGGUACGGGCAGGCUUGAGUGUGGGAGGUGUGACUGGAAUUCCAGGUGUAGCGGUGGAAUGCGCAGAUAUCUGGAGGAAUACCGAUGGCGAAGGCAGGUCACUGGGCCAUUACUGACGCUGAGGAGCGAAAGCAUGGGUAGCGAACAGG
rnacentral:rRNA from 1 species